GUGCCCGCCUUGGCAGCACAUAUACUAAAAUUGGAAUGAUCCAGAGGUUAGCAUGGCCCCUGCACAAGGAUGACAUGAAAAUUCGUGAAGGGUUCCAUAUUAAA